rfam:Dipodomys ordii contig_10709, whole genome shotgun sequence.
GGUGGCUUAGUGGUAGAGUGCUUGCCUUGCAUGCAUGAGACCCUGGGUUCAAUUCCUCAGCACCA